rnacentral:rRNA from 1 species
CCUACGGGAGGCAGCAGUGAGGAAUAUUGGUCAAUGGACGAGAGUCUGAACCAGCCAAGUAGCGUGAAGGAUGACUGCCCUAUGGGUGGUAAACUUCGUUUAUAUGGGAAUAAAAUGUUCCACGUGUGGGAUUUUGUAUGUACCAUAUGAAUAAGGAUCGGCUAACUCCGUGCCAGCAGCCGCGGUAAUACGUAGGGGGCGAGCGUUCUCCGGAUUCACUGGGUUUAAAGGGAGCGUAGAUGGGUUGGUAAGUCAGUUGUGAAAGUUUGCGGCUCAACCGUAAAAUUGCAAUUGAUACUGGCAGUCUUGAGUACAGUUGAGGUAAGCGGAAUUCGUGGUGUAGCGGUGAAAUGCUUAGAUAUCACGAAGAACCCCGAUUGCGAAGGCAGCUUACUAAACUGUGACUGACAUUGAUGCUCGAAAGUGUGGGUAUCAAACAGGAUUAGAUACCCUAGUAGUC